UACGUAGGGGGCAAGCGUUGUCCGGAAUCAUUGGGCGUAAAGCGCGUGUAGGCGGCCCGGCAAGUCCGCUGUGAAAGUCCAGGGCUCAACCCUGGAAUGCCGGUGGAUACUGUCGGGCUCGAGUCCGGAAGAGGCGAGUGGAAUUCCUGGUGUAGCGGUGAAAUGCGCAGAUAUCAGGAGGAACACCGAUGGCGAAGGCAGCUCGCUGGGACGUGACUGACGCUGAGGAGCGAAAGCGUGGGGAGCAAACAGG
rnacentral:rRNA from 1 species